rnacentral:rRNA from 1 species
CAAUAGCGUAUAUUAAAGUUGUUGCAGUUAAAAAGCUCGUAGUUGGAUUUGUGGCGUACGGUGUGUUCCGGGCACUUGUUGUCUGAGUAACCUGCUAUUGCCAUCCUUGGGUGGAACCUGUGUGGCAUUAGGUUGUCGUGCAGGGGAUGCCCAUCAUUUACUGUGAAAAAAUUAGAGUGUUCAAAGCAGGCUUAUGCCGUUGAAUAUAUUAGCAUGGAAUAAUGAGAUAGGACUUUUUUGCUAUUUUGUUGGUUUGCGCAAAGAGGUAAUGAUUAAUAGGGACAGUUGGGGGUAUUCGUAUUCCAUUGUCAGAGGUGAAAUUCUUGGAUUUUUGGAAGACGAACUACUGCGAAAGCAUUUACCAAGGAUGUUUUCAUUAA